rnacentral:rRNA from 1 species
UACGGGGGGGGCAAGCGUUGUUCGGAAUUACUGGGCGUAAAGGGCUCGUAGGCGGCCAACUAAGUCAGACGUGAAAUCCCUCGGCUUAACUGGGGAACUGCGUCUGAUACUGGAUGGCUUGGAUUCGGGAGAGGAAUGCGGAAUUCCAGGUGUAGCGGUGAAAUGCGUAGAUAUCUGGAGGAACACCGGUGGCGAAGGCGGCAUCCUGGACCGACACUGACACUGAGGAGCGAAAGCCAGGGGAGCAAACGGG